rnacentral:tRNA from 1 species
GUGGGGAUAGGUGAGGUGUAGAGGAG